GGGCUUUCGGUGCAGCAGCGGCAUCGCCCCGUUCCGUUCUCUCCUCGCUGCGCCGGGACCCGGGGAGAAAGGAGACGGAGGGAGGCGAGGGCUGUAGGAAGGCUGAAGCACAGAGAUUAACCACGUAGGCACCAUUCUGACUAUAGAUGCCAAGAAGAAGUGGUGUGAAAGAAGCCAGCAGCUGCUUGAGCCUCAUCCUGCCUGGUAGUGCUCCUGAUGCCUCCCCACAUGGCAUCACACAGGCUGGUCCUGCCAAGGAACGGCUCCAACACAGCACUUAUGCACAGGAACUGCUUCAGCUCAGCGAUACUUCACACAGUAUUAAGGAAGCUUCUGGCAGAAGGACAAAUUGUAAAAAUCAGGAAGAUUGGAAAAGGUGCACCAGGAAACAGUGCUCCGUUUUAUGUCAGUGGCGACGUUCUCAAUGAGAUCCGCAACCGCAGAGCUCAUAACCGACUUCUGAAGCCAACAGAUACGCAGUAUUUCAGUGCUCACAUAAAACGUCGUUAUGAAAAGUUGUAACUUUUUACAGUGUUUGCAAAAGCGAACAGGAACCCCGCCGACCCAGCCCGCAGCACCGCCGAGCGGGGAACCGCAUGGCAGCGCUGCCUCCGAGCGGCCCCCGCCCCGCGCUGCCGGUCCCGCAGCUGCGGGAUGGGGAAAGCAGUGACGCGCGAGAACUCCUCUGCCUCCGCGGCCGCGAGCAGCUCGGAAUCGCUGCUAAACACCCGAGGUGUCACCGCGGUGCCUACGCGCCGGCGGCUCCCUCCCGGUGGGGCAGGGACGGACAUUUUCUCGCUCCCGCUGCCGCCCUGCUCGGCCAGGCGACGGACGUACGUCCACCAGACCGA